rnacentral:rRNA from 1 species
UACGUAGGGUGCGAGCGUUAUCCGGAUUCACUGGGUUUAAAGGGUGCGUAGGAGGGCAGGUAAGUCAGUGGUGAAAUCCCCGAGCUUAACUUGGGAACUGCCGUUGAUACUAUCUGUCUUGAAUGCUGUGGAGGUGAGCGGAAUAUGUCAUGUAGCGGUGAAAUGCUUAGAUAUGACAUAGAACACCAAUUGCGAAGGCAGCUCGCUACACAGUUAUUGACUCUGAGGCACGAAAGCGUGGGGAUCAAACAGG